UUAUCAUAGAUAGCCUUACAAAGUUCGGUAAUUAAGAUUUCUUAUCGAAAACUCCAAAUCGGACUCCAACCUAAUUCUAAUUUAAUUUAAAAUCUAUUUUAAAACUACUUGAAAAUCUAACCUAAUUUAAAUAAUCUAAUCAGAAUUAAAACGUAAACCUCGUAUCAACCUUAAGAAGCAAAAAUCAUAUUUAAAUCUAAAUAAAUAAUUAUAAAAAAAUAACAUAUCUAAUCUAAAAAAAUCAAAUCAAACUUAAAAUCUAAAUAUAAUAAUACUUGUAAUACUGAUGUUGCAAAUUCACCAUGCAACGACCCCUGCUUACAAACUCUGAAACACGGAAAGGCUCAUCUGGAAAUUUCCCCUCCGUGCCUCUAUAAAAUCCAAAUGAAAGGUUUCCUCUUUGUUUUUCUUUCUGCGGUCUCUGGUGGCGAGCACGGUGGCCGGUACAAAACGGCUUCUUUUUUGUUUUGAAAAUGGUUUUUGAAAAUAUUUCUCAGAUCUGAUUUUUAGAUUUGACGAGAAUAAAAGAAUAAAAAGGAAAUGAAAUGAAAAAGGAUAAAAAAAAAAAGGUGUGGUUUUUUU
rnacentral:lncRNA from 1 species